UACGUAGGGGGCAAGCGUUGUCCGGAUUUAUUGGGCGUAAAGAGCGUGUAGGCGGCUUGGUAGGUCCGCUGUGAAAACUCGAGGCUCAACCUCGAGAUGUCGGCGGAAACCACUUGGCUAGAGUCCGGAAGAGGAGAGUGGAAUUCCUGGUGUAGCGGUGAAAUGCGCAGAUAUCAGGAAGAACACCUAUGGCGAAGGCAGCGCUCUGGGACGGUACUGACGCUGAGACGCGAAAGCGUGGGGAGCGAACAGG
rnacentral:rRNA from 1 species